AAUAUACUGUAAUUAAUUAGUCCGUGGUUGAUGGUUGCUUAGGUUGUUUAUAAUUUUUCACAAUUACAGAUUGUU
rnacentral:snoRNA from 1 species